UACGAAGGGUGCAAGCGUUACUCGGAAUUACUGGGCGUAAAGCGUGCGUAGGUGGUGAGUUAAGUCUGUCGUGAAAGCCCCGGGCUCAACCUGGGAAUGGCGAUGGAUACUGGCUCGCUAGAGUGCGGUAGAGGAGAGUGGAAUUCCCGGUGUAGCAGUGAAAUGCGUAGAGAUCGGGAGGAACAUCAGUGGCGAAGGCGACUACCUGGCCUGUUCUUGACGCUGAGGCGCGAAAGCUAGGGGAGCAAACGGG
rnacentral:rRNA from 1 species